rnacentral:lncRNA from 1 species
GGUUCAGAUUUAGGAAGGACGACCCCGUCGCCUGCCUCCCUCCCUCGCCCAGAGCCGGGAGCAAUGCUGGGGCAGAAGAGAGGACUUGGGAAGGAUCCGGACCUUACUUUCCCCGCGGGUCCCGGACCCGCAGCCCCCGGGUUGUGAGGCGGAAGCCAAAGGGGCGAACCCAGCGGAGCCGGCGUGCACGGACCCUGCCCCGCGGUUUAAGAGGGGUGCCUCCGGCCCGGGACAGCGGGGCUCCCGGAGCCCGAAAGCCCCACGAGCGGCGACAGCGGGGCCCGGCGCUGACGAGCGGAGGAAGCGGGUGAAGGAAGAUUAUUUCCCCCCCCAUCUUGACCACCCCCCAGUCUUCGCCGCCAAAAACGGACUCCGCCGGCUCUCCUCGGCCCGGUACCAGUUGUUGGAUCCAAGAGAAUUCCGGAACCCAAACGGUCCAUUACCGCGGCUCUGGGGUCCGCGUGCCAGGGCUAUCGGGAGGUCGGACGGAGGGCCGCGCGCAUGCGCCCCGCGCCUGCUUUCAAACUCCAGGCUCGCUCAAAGCGCUUUAUUGGCAGUGAAACCACAAGUAACCCGGAGCCCUCGGCGCGUCCACGGCUAGAAUCAGAGCCUAAGGCGUGUGAGCUCGGCCAUCCCACGUCUGUCUUCACGCUCACCCGCAAGCCCAACACACUGGGGCUCCCAGUUAAUGAAUACUUAAGAGUAGGGCUGUCCCUACCGCUUCUCACUUCCUUGUUUUCACCUUUUCGUUAUUAUUAAGCGACCUAACACAAUAAACAUAUUACCUUGUUGGUAACCCUUUUGUAAAGUCAUUCUGAAAGUGCUGUUUGACUCCGUUGCUUGGGUAAUAAGCACGCCUGGGUGAUUCUUGCCCCCUACUGGCUGCGCAUCCUACAAGCCUCGUGCUGAAAGCAAACCAAGUAGCUGGAACAGUUGGAGGUUACAAUGUGAACUCUUCAGAGACAACGUAUUCGGGGAAAGAAAGGAAAAAGUAGGCACAGAAAGAAUAGGAAACUUUAGUGUUUGUACACAGAAAUAUGUAUUAUAUAUCUAUGUAUACAUUUAUAAAUAGUUUUAAAGUG